CAGUCGCCGCGGUAAUACAGAGGUCCCGAGCGUUGUUCGGAUUCACUGGGCGUAAAGGGUGUGUAGGAGGUUGGAUAAGUCAGGUGUGAAAUCCCGCAGCUCAACUGCGGAACUGCAUUUGUGACUGGCCGGCUAGAGUAUGGCAGAGGGAGGUGGAAUUCCACGUGUAGCAGUGAAAUGCGUAGAUAUGUGGAGGAACACCGAUGGCGAAGGCAGCCUCCUGGGCCAAUACUGACGCUCAUGCACGAAAGCGUGGGGAGCAAACAGGAUUAGAUACCCGCGUAGUCCCUGUCUCUUAUAC
rnacentral:rRNA from 1 species